UUAAAUUGAAGAGUUUGAUCAUGRCUCAGAUUGAACGCUGSCGGCWRGCCUAACACAUGCAAGUCGAACGGUAACAGGAAGCAGCUUGCUGCUUUGCUGACGCGUGGCUGACGGGUGAGUGAUGUCUGGUAAACUGCCCGAUGGAGGGGGGUAACUACUGGAAACGGUAGCUAAUACCGCAUAACCUCGCAGGACCAAAGAGGGGGACCUUCGGGCCUCUUGCCAUCGGCUGUGCCCAGAUGGGAUUUGCUAGUAGGUGGAGUAACGGCUCACCUGGUCGACGAUCCCUAGCUGGGCUGAGAGGCUGUCACGCCACCCUGUACCUGCGCCCCGGUCCUGACUCCUACCGUCGGCAUCAACAGGGCGACUUGCACAAUGGCCGCACCCCUGAUUCCGCCCUGCCGCGUGUCUGAUAAAGCCCUUCGGAUUGUCACGCACCUUCACAGGGUAGGCAG
rnacentral:rRNA from 1 species